rnacentral:tRNA from 1 species
CAGGGAGACAACAAAAUGUUUAAUAUUAUUAUUUUGUCACCUUAGGUCGAUCGGUAUCUCACAUUUUUAAUUUAUUAAGAAUUUCAUUUUCUAAGUUUUUCUAGGUCACACCCAUUAUUUUUCCUGGGCCAUUAGCUCAGGUGGUUAGAGCGCACCCCUGAUAAGGGUGAGGUCCCUGGUUCAAGUCCAGGAUGGCCCAUAUCUCUAUGUUGGGGGUAUAGCUCAGUUGGUAGAGCGCCUGCUUUGCAAGCAGGAUGUCAGCGGUUCGAGUCCGCCUACCUCCACUGAUUACCACCUCUUCCAUAACCGGUAGCAAGGAAAUAUUUUGAGUUGUGAUCAAAUUCUGAAAGAAUCUAGCUUCCUAAUGAAAUCAUUAAGAUGCUGGACUCAUUGAAUUAUUUUCAUUGUUUUCAGAGAACCUUGACAACUGCAUAGAUUAUUUUUAAAGACAAUAAGCAUCUUUAAUGAUGCAGAUUUAUUAUUUGUGCGAAUGCAUUAAUAACAAUUCUAUUAAGCUGAUGCUUCAAUUUUUGAAGUUAUU